rnacentral:rRNA from 1 species
UGAGGAAUAUUGGUCAAUGGGUGCAAGCCUGAACCAGCCAUCCCGCGUGAAGGACGACUGCCCUAUGGGUUGUAAACUUCUUUUGUAUAGGGAUAAACCUACCCUCGUGAGGGUAGCUGAAGGUACUAUACGAAUAAGCACCGGCUAACUCCGUGCCAGCAGCCGCGGUAAUACGGAGGGUGCAAGCGUUAUCCGGAUUUAUUGGGUUUAAAGGGUCCGUAGGCGGACUUAUAAGUCAGUGGUGAAAGCCUGUCGCUUAACGAUAGAACUGCCAUUGAUACUGUAAGUCUUUAGUAUAUUUGAGGUAGCUGGAAUAAGUAGUGUAGCGGUGAAAUGCAUAGAUAUUACUUAGAACACCAAUUGCGAAGGCAGGUUACCAAGAUAUAACUGACGCUGAGGGACGAAAGCGUGGGGAGCGAACA